GCACUUCCAGUUUUCAUCAGUUGUCAAAAUUCGAUUGUGCACUCGUUCUCUUCCAAUCUCCUUACCAAGAAUUUUUCACUGUUUCUAUCUUUAAAAUUCCUGCAACACUUUUUUGUAAUUUUAGUGAACAUAACUGAUGUGUUCGCAUUUGAAAACAAGGAACGGAAUGGUGACAUCCGUGUGAAUAAGAUCAAACGAGGCUGGGAUCGUUUCGACUGGGUGGUCGAGUUCGCACGCCAGGGCAUCGGCGUAGCUGAUAACGAUGCAUGGGCGAUUACCGAAUUCAAUAAAGAUUACAAAGUAUUUUUUUUUUUUUGAAUUUUUUCACUCACUCUGCGUCUGCUUUAAAUGCUUUAACAUUUCGAGAUGCCCAGUUGCGAAAGCAUUUUGCCAAGAAUUUCUUAAUUAAUCAAAAGCGAAAGUCAAAGCUUCGAAGGUGAUCAGCUACCGCACUAGUUCUGAUUUGAAAUGAUACCAACUAGCGUUUUGUCGGCGGUAAAUACACCUUGACGAGUAGCUUCAGUGCAAAAAAUCGUUAACUUAUC
rnacentral:ncRNA from 1 species